rnacentral:rRNA from 1 species
UACGAAGGGUGCUAGCGUUGUUCGGAAUUACUGGGCGUAAAGCGUACGUAGGCGGCUAUUCAAGUCAGAGGUGAAAGCCCAGGGCUCAACCCUGGAAUUGCCUUUGAGACUGGAUAGCUUGAGUAUGGGAGAGGUAAGUGGAAUUCCAAGUGUAGAGGUGAAAUUCGUAGAUAUUUGGAAGAACACCAGUGGCGAAGGCGGCUUACUGGACCAUUACUGACGCUGAGGUACGAAAGCGUGGGGAGCAAACAGG